UUGUCUUCAACUUUACACCAUAACUUUUAUUUUAGAAUAACAUUUUUUCAACUAUUUGAUGAUAUUAAACAUAUAUUUAUAUUAAAGUAUUUUAUUAUUUAUUCACCCGUCCAUAGGGCAGGCCAAACCUUAGUAUUAUUAAAAGGGGACUGAUAUUAAUAUAGAAAAAAAUAUAGAAAAAGGCAGAUUAUUCACCAAUCAUAAAAUCUCUACUAAUAAAAGAGACCUUUUGAGGCUCCAUAGAGCAUCCACGUCAGCGAAAAAAUUUCUCCCGAAAUAUGACACGUGGCAUUGUUACUAAAAAAAGUAAAUACACAAUAUAAGAAAAAAUAAAUAAUAAGUAAAUGUACAAUAUCUAUAUUAAUAAAAUGGACCUUUUGAGGCUCCAUAGAGCGUC
rnacentral:lncRNA from 1 species